GCUGGGUGUGGUGGCGGAUGCCUGUAAUCCCAGCUACUCAGGAGGCUGAGGCAGGAGAAUUGCUUGAACCCGGGUGGCGGAGGCUGCAGUGAGCCAACAUCGCGCCACUGCACUCCAGCCUGGGCAACAGAGCAAGACUCUGUCUCAA
ensembl:misc_RNA Metazoa_SRP Metazoan signal recognition particle RNA